AACCAAAAACUUUCAACAACGGAUCUCUUGGUUCUGGCAUCGAUGAAGAACGCAGCGAAAUGCGAUAAGUAAUGUGAAUUGCAGAAUUCAGUGAAUCAUCGAAUCUUUGAA
rnacentral:rRNA from 1 species